rnacentral:tRNA from 1 species
GAGGGUAUAGCUCAGCGGUAGAGUGUGUGCUUAGCAAGCAUGAGGUCCUGAGUUCAAUCCCCAGUACCUCCA